ACAUGGGGGACCCUGGAGGGGACAUUGGGGGGCGCAGGGGACCCUUGGGGACGCCUGUGGGGCGGCGGCAGGGACGACGACAUGCAGAGCGUGGCCAGUCUCAUGAGCCUCAAGCCCUGCGACGUGGCCGACCUGGGCGACUUCGCCGAGAGCGACGAGGAGGACGGGGCUGCCGGCAGCGGGUGGCCGCAGCGGGGGGACGGCGCUGCCCCUGUGCCCCACGAGCCCCCCCGAGAGCUGGACGCGCUGGCGGAGGAGGAGGAAGAGCUGGCGGCGAGGCGAGCCGCCUCCCCGGAGCGGGGCUCUGCCGCGGCGGGGGGCGACCGCACGGCCCCAGGGUCCCCCCCGGCGCUGGGGGCACAGGGGGGCCCCCCCGGCCCUGGCAGCGAGCCCGACACCCCCUCAGCGGUGAGUGCAGUCAGUGGGGCUGGGAGGGGUCUGGGGCUGCCCUGGGGGGCUCAGGGACCCCCACGCAUUUGC
rnacentral:lncRNA from 1 species